rnacentral:lncRNA from 1 species
CGUGCAUGUACUUGUAUGCGUGCUCCAAGAGUUCAGCAUAUGUCCGAGGGAGAGUCUUAUCUAAUGAACACGUGAAUCGAGAUCCUCUUAUAUCUCUUUUCAUGGUCGAUAUGGCCAUAUCUUCAUUGAGGUCCUUGACCUCGAGCGUGGCCAUGUUGAAUCGGGCUAUAAAAUCCCAAAGUAUUUUGGUCCCUCCUUGUUUGAUCGAGAAGAGAC